rnacentral:rRNA from 1 species
ACCCCCCUCUUCCGUCCGCGGUUCUACGUCUUACACACACACUGUAACACGGUUUUGUGGAAUGUACGCAGCGUUUAACGCAAUACAAUACAACUUUCAGCAACGGAUCUCUUGGCUCUCGCAUCGAUGAAGAACGCAGCGAAAUGCGAUAAGUAAUGUGAAUUGCAGAAUUCAGUGAAUCAUCGAAUCUUUGAACGCACCUUGCGCCCUUUGGCUAUUCCGAAGGGCAUGCCUGUUUGAGUAUCAUGAACACCUCAACUCUCACGGUUCGCCGUGACGAGCUUGGACUUUGGAGGCUUUGCUGGCCUGUGGGUCGGCUCCUCUCAAAUGAAUCAGCUUACCGGUGUAUUGGUGGCGUCACAGGUGUGAUAACUAUCUACGCUUGCGGUCGCCCGCCAGACAACCUCUGCCAUCGUCGGAGGUUUGCCGGAGGCUCACAAACGUCUCCCGAGCGGAGACAGCCUUCUGAACGUU